UUCAUCAAACGCGGAGGUAUUUUUGGAGCCGUUAAACCCGUUUCCGGAAAAAAAUUUCCGGAAACAUGUUUCCACCGCGAGGGGUGGAAACAUAUUUCCGGGUAUAUUUUUUUGCCCGUUAGGGCUCGCGUGUUCCUGCCGCUGCCUCUCGUGUCUUCCUCCUGCCGCUGCCUCAUCGUUCUCAACCUGCUGCUGCUAUCCCCUGGCCGUCUCUCUCGCUCUCUCACUCUCUUCGGCCUUCUCUUUGUUUCUCUCUCUGUCUCGCUUUGGUGUUUCCAUCGUCGCUGUUCUUGGCACCCACAAAAAGUUUGAAGGCAACAUCGCUGUCGGACCUCCAUAUUCCCCCUGUUCACUGGAUUGUUCUCGUCGCAGGCAGGUAACUUUGCUGCUACCGAUUUUCUCUCUGCCCUAUUAUUUCCCCUUUUUAAGCUAUUGGCCAUCGGACAAGUUUUGGCUUCAUUCUUUUCCCCUUGACAGUUUGCUUUGUUUUCCCCAAAUCGACAUGUUUCAUUCUUUUCCCCCUGUUCGCUGUCUCGUUUUGGCAUAUGGAUAGCAUUGAAAAUUGGUAAUCAACAAGAAAAUGAUUUACUGUGGUGAGAUUACAGUCAUGGUGCCUACCAUAUGUGACCAACUUCCUGCUUCUUCAACGCUCUGCCUAACCUCUGUCUCUCGCUCCCUCUGUCUCCCUCCCUUUGUCUACAAGCAAACACGCGAGAGAAGGAAAAUCGCGUGGCUUUCUCUGCAGGAGCCAUGAAAUUGGAAGCAACAAAAUUUCGACCAAGAGAGGUUGUGAAGCAUGUACUGCAGACUGCUGCUGCGUCCUUGAGAAAGGAGCUCACUUUGGAAGGAUUUGUAACACCUCAAGUUCCAAUCGAGGUUAGAUCAGUAUUUGUGAAAAUGGACAUAUUCUCAGUGUUGAAUUUCAUAAUCCUGUCAUCAAAACUAUGCUGGCAAAAUGUUCCAACUUUUUGUUGUAAAUGUGAUGUAUGUGCAACUAGAAGAUUGUCCAUGUUACAAACUUUCUUUACGUCAACAACAUCUGCAACUGCUCCAUUAAAUAAAUGGUCAGUGUCAUGAUAGCCCCUA